UACGAAGGGGGCUAGCGUUGCUCGGAAUUACUGGGCGUAAAGGGCGCGUAGGCGGAUGUCUAAGUUGGGGGUGAAAGCCCGGGGCUCAACCUCGGAACCGCCUUCAAUACUGGAUAUCUUGAGUUCGGGAGAGGUGAGUGGAAUGCCGAGUGUAGAGGUGAAAUGCGUAGAUAUCAUUUGGAACGCCAACGGAGAAAUCAGCUCGCUGGGGGUGUGCUGACGCUGAGACACGAAAGCCAGGGGAGCGAACGGG
rnacentral:rRNA from 1 species